rnacentral:rRNA from 1 species
AACGAACGCUGGCGACAGGCCUAACACAUGCAAGUCGAGCGAGCAUUUCGGUGCUAGCGGCGGACGGGUGAGUAACGCGUGGGAACGUGCCCUUUUCUGCGGAAUAGUCCUGGGAAACUGGGGGUAAUACCGCAUACGCCCUUUUGGGGAAAGAUUUAUCGGAGAAGGAUCGGCCCGCGUUGGAUUAGGUAGUUGGUGGGGUAAUGGCCCACCAAGCCGACGAUCCAUAGCUGGUUUGAGAGGAUGAUCAGCCACACUGGGACUGAGACACGGCCCAGACUCCUACGGGAGGCAGCAGUGGGGAAUCUUAGACAAUGGGGGCAACCCUGAUCUAGCCAUGCCGCGUGAGUGAUGAAGGCCUUAGGGUUGUAAAGAUCUUUAAGCUGGGAAGAUAAUGACGGUACCAGCAGAAGAAGCCCCGGCUAACUCCGUG